rnacentral:rRNA from 1 species
CCCAGACAGCCAGGAUGUUGGCUUAGAAGCAGCCAUCAUUUAAAGAAAGCGUAAUAGCUCACUGGUCGAGUCGGCCUGCGCGGAAGAUGUAACGGGGCUAAACCAUGCACCGAAGCUGCGGCAGCGACGCUGAUGCGUUGUUGGGUAGGGGAGCGUUCUGUAAGCCUGUGAAGGUGGCCUGUGAGGGUUGCUGGAGGUAUCAGAAGUGCGAAUGCUGACAUAAGUAACGAUAAAGCGGGUGAAAAGCCCGCUCGCCGGAAGACCAAGGGUUCCUGUCCAACGUUAAUCGGGGCAGGGUGAGUCGACCCCUAAGGCGAGGCCGAAAGGCGUAGUCGAUGGGAAACGGGUUAAUAUUCCCGUACUUGGUGUUACUGCGAAGGGGGGACGGAGAAGGCUAUGUUGGCCGGGCGACGGUUGUCCCGGUUUAAGCGUGUAGGUGUGUGUUCCAGGUAAAUCCGGUUCACUUUAACACUGAGGCGUGAUGACGAGGCACUACGGUGCUGAAGCAACAAAUGCCCUGCUUCCAGGAAAAGCCUCUAAGCAUCAGGUAACAUCAAAUCGUACCCCAAACCGACACAGGUGGUCAGGUAGAGAAUACCAAGGCGCUUGAGAGAACUCGGGUGAAGGAACUAGGCAAAAUGGUGCCGUAACUUCGGGAGAAGGCACGCUGACACGUAGGUGAAGUGAUUUACUCACGGAGCUGAAGUCAGUCGAAGAUACCAGCUGGCUGCAACUGUUUAUUAAAAACACAGCACUGUGCAAACACGAAAGUGGACGUAUACGGUGUGACGCCUGCCCGGUGCCGGAAGGUUAAUUGAUGGGGUCAGCGCAAG